GCAAGUCGAGCGCGAAGGUUACAAAUGAUUCUUCGGAUGAAUGCGUAACUGGAAAGCGGCGGACGGGUGAGUAACGCGUGGGUAACCUGCCCUACACACUGGGAUAGCCAUUGGAAACGAUGAUUAAUACCGGAUAACACAUUUUAAACACAUGUUUUUAAUGUCAAAGAUUUAUCGGUGUAGGAUGGACCCGCGUCUGAUUAGCUAGUUGGUAAGGUAACGGCUUACCAAGGCCACGAUCAGUAGCCGACCUGAGAGGGUGAUC
rnacentral:rRNA from 1 species